rnacentral:rRNA from 1 species
CCUACGGGAGGCAGCAGUGAGGAAUAUUGGUCAAUGGACGAGAGUCUGAACCAGCCAAGUAGCGUGAAGGAUGACUGCCCUAUGGGUUGUAAACUUCUUUUAUAUGGGAAUAAAGUGUGGGACGUGUCCUAUUUUGUAUGUACCUUAUGAAUAAGGAUCGGCUAACUCCGUGCCAGCAGCCGCGGUAAUACGGAGGAUCCGAGCGUUAUCCGGAUUUAUUGGGUUUAAAGGGUGCGUAGGCGGCCUUUUAAGUCAGCGGUGAAAGGCUGUGGCUCAACCAUAGAAUUGCCGUUGAAACUGGGGGGCUUGAGUAUGUGUGAGGCAGGCGGAAUGCGUGGUGUAGCGGUGAAAUGCUUAGAUAUCACGCAGAACCCCGAUUGCGAAGGCAGCCUGCCAAGCCAUGACUGACGCUGAUGCACGAAAGCGUGGGGAUCAAACAGGAUUAGAUACCCGGGUAGUC